UAGUCAUAUUUGACUACAAAUCCGCUAACCAAGCUUCUUGAUUGUCAAACCUUUUAUGGUGAAGCCGAAUUUCUUAUGAGUUUUUUGU
rnacentral:sRNA from 1 species